GAUGAACGCUGGCGGCGUGCCUAAUACAUGCAAGUCGAGCGAACGGACGAGAAGCUUGCUUCUCUGAUGUUAGCGGCGGACGGGUGAGUAACACGUGGAUAACCUACCUAUAAGACUGGGAUAACUUCGGGAAACCGGAGCUAAUACCGGAUGAUAUUUUGAACCGCAUGGUUCAAAAGUGAAAGACGGUCUUGCUGUCACUUAUAGAUGGAUCCGCGCUGCAUUAGCUAGUUGGUAAGGUAACGGCUUACCAAGGCAACGAUGCAUAGCCGACCUGAGAGGGUGAUCGGCCACACUGGAACAGAGACACAGUCCAGACUCCUACGAGAGGCAGCGGUGGAGAAUCUUACGCAAUGGGCGAAAGCCUGACGGAGCAACGCCGCGUGAGUGAUGAAGGUCUUCGGAUCGUAAAACUCUGUUAUUAGGGAAGAACAUAUGUGUAAGUAACUGUACACAUCUUGACGGUACCUAAUCAGAAAGCCACGGCUAACUACGUG
rnacentral:rRNA from 1 species